UGCAGUCGACGGUAACAGGAAGCAGCUUGCUGNUUCGCUGACGAGUGGCGGACNNNUGAGUAAUGUCUGGGAAACUGCCUGAUGGAGGGGGAUAACUACUGGAAACGGUAGCUAAUACCGCAUAACGUCGCAAGACCAAAGAGGGGGACCUUCGGGCCUCUUGCCAUCGGAUGUGCCCAGAUGGGAUUAGCUAGUAGGUGGGGUAACGGCUCACCUAGGCGACGAUCCCUAGCUGGUCUGAGAGGAUGACCAGCCACACUGGAACUGAGACACGGUCCAGACUCCUACGGGAGGCAGCAGUGGGGAAUAUUGCACAAUGGGCGCAAGCCUGAUGCAGCCAUGCCGCGUGUAUGAAGAAGGCCUUCGGGUUGUAAAGUACUUUCAGCGGGGAGGAAGGGAGUAAAGUUAAUACCUUUGCUCAUUGACGUUACCCGCAGAAGAAGCACCGGCUAACUCCGUGCCAGCAGCCGCGGUAAUACGGAGGGUGCAAGCGUUAAUCGGAAUUACUGGGCGUAAAGCGCACGCAGGCGGUUUGUUAAGUCAGAUGUGAAAUCCCCGGGCUCAACCUGGGAACUGCAUCUGAUACUGGCAAGCUUGAGUCUCGUAGAGGGGGGUAGAAUUCCAGGUGUAGCGGUGAAAUGCGUAGAGAUCUGGAGGAAUACCGGUGGCGAAGGCGGCCCCCUGGACGAAGACUGACGCUCAGGUGCGAAAGCGUGGGGAGCAAACAGGAUUAGAUACCCUGNGUAGUCCACGCCGUAAACGAUGUCGACUUGGAGGUUGUGCCCUUGAGGCGUGGCUUCCGGAGCUAACGCGUUAAGUC
rnacentral:rRNA from 1 species